UCCCUCGGUGUGUCCGUGCAGCGUGGCAA
rnacentral:sRNA from 1 species